GCUUCCGUGGCUCAGCAGGUAGAGCAACGCAUUCGUAAUGCGUAGGUCGCCGGUUCGAAUCCGGCCGGGAGCU
rnacentral:tRNA from 1 species